rnacentral:rRNA from 1 species
AGAAUGAACGUUGGCGGCGUGGAUUAGGCAUGCAAGUCGAACGGGCCGCGAGGCCAGUGGCGCAAGGGUGAGUAAGGCGACGGUAACCAACCCCACGACCGGGUAUAGCCGCGGGAAACCGCGGGGUAAUCCCCCGGCGACGCCCGGGGGGGGCAUCCCCCCGGGCCCAAAGCUCCGGCGUCGUGGGACGGGCCGUCGUGGUAUUAGGUCGUUGGCGGGGUGACGGCCCACCAAGCCUGCGAUGCCUACCGGGCGUGCGAGCGUGGCCCGGCACACUGGGACUGAGACACUGCCCAGACUCCUACGGGAGGCUGCAGUCGAGAAUCUUCGGCAAUGGGCGCAAGCCUGACCGAGCGACGCCGCGUGGAGGACGAAGGCCCUCGGGUUGUAAACUCCUGUCGAGGGGGAAGAGGCGCCGCGAGGCGCUUGACCGAUCCCUGGAGGAAGCACGGGCUAAGUUCGCGCCAGCAGCCGC